rnacentral:ncRNA from 1 species
UUGGAGUCGGGUUGUUUGAGAUUGCAGCCCAAAGAGGGUGGUAAACCUCAUCUAAGGCUAAAUACGACAACGAGACCGAUAGCAAACAUGUACCGUGAGGGAAAGUUGCAAAAGAACUUUGAAGAGAGAAUUCAAGAGGGCGUGAAACCGUUAAAAUGGAAACGAAUAAAGUUAACGAAACUUAUCAUAUUCAACCGAUCAAUUUAGCAAUCUUAUUUGAUUUAUUAUUCAUUUUUUAUCAAAUGAAUAAAAUGAUUUAUUAAGAUAGAAGUGUUAAAUUUGUCCUGAUUGGUGUAUUUAUCGAUAGUAUGCAUUCGUUUUGCCAUAUUAAUACAAAUUUUCAAUUUACUGGACCAAAUUUUCGCUUGAUAAUUGAAAUUUUAAAUAUGUUGAAAUAUGU